rnacentral:tRNA from 1 species
GAGGGUAUAGCUCAGCGGGAGAGUGCGUGCUUAGCAUGCAUGAAGCCCUGGGUUCAAUCCCCAGUACCUCCA